rfam:Arabis alpina cultivar Pajares Aa.chr6_contig_5830, whole genome shotgun sequence.
AUACCAUGAUGAGGACAAGCUCUCGUGUAUCCUUUCAUACGCUCCCAUGCAUCAUACAAACUCUCUUCUUCGCCUUGCUCAAAUCUAGCUAUAUCGUUUCUUAUCUU